rnacentral:rRNA from 1 species
UACGUAGGGUGCGAGCGUUAAUCGGAAUUACUGGGCGUAAAGCGUGCGUAGGCGGCUAUGUAAGACAGAUGUGAAAUCCCUGGGCUUAACCUAGGAACUGCAUUUGUGACUGCAUUGCUGGAGUGUGGUAGAGGGAGAUGGAAUUCCGCAUGUAGCAGUGAAAUGCGUAGAUAUGCGGAGGAACACCAAUGGCGAAGGCAAUCUCCUGGACCUGCACUGACGCUCAUGCACGAAAGCGUGGGGAGCAAACAGG